rnacentral:lncRNA from 1 species
GCAACAUUUUGUUCGCUCUUGUCAUCAGGUACAAUAAUUACAGCUGAUGGAAUGGUGUGUAGUUUUGAGACGCAACAAAUUGAUCUUACAGCUGAUCCACCAACAUGCUCAACAAGCAAUUUUGACGUGGACCAAUUCUCAAUACCCGGAGAGUACCAAGUCAGCCUCACAGUCCCAUCUUCAUAUCCAGUUGCAAUCCAGCUUGAUUUGGACAAUAAUGCAUGUUUAUAGCAAUCUCCAUGUAUGAAGCAUAAUGAAU